rnacentral:rRNA from 1 species
UGGGGAAUAUUGCACAAUGGGCGCAAGCCUGAUGCAGCCAUGCCGCGUGUAUGAAGAAGGCCUUCGGGUUGUAAAGUACUUUCAGCGGGGAGGAAGGGAGUAAAGUUAAUACCUUUACUCAUUGACGUUACCCGCAGAAGAAGCACCGGCUAACUCCGUGCCAGCAGCCGCGGUAAUACGGAGGGUGCAAGCAUUAAUCGGAAUUACUGGGCGUAAAGCGCACGCAGGCGGUUUGUUAAGUCAGAUGUGAAAUCCCCGGGCUCAACCUGGGAACUGCAUCUGAUACUGGCAAGCUUGAGUCUAGUAGAGGGGGGUAGAAUUCCAGGUGUAGCGGUGAAAUGCGUAGAGAUCUGGAGGAAUACCGGUGGCGAAGGCGGCCCCCUGGACGAAGACUGACGCUCAGGUGCGAAAGCGUGGGGAGCAAACAGG